CUCGUGUAUUUAGAACGUUCGUCUUUGUUAUUUUCACCGGGAAAUGUGCAUAAUGCAGAAGAAUAAUUAUUGGUUCUUUUGUUUUAAGUUUCACCCAUUAAAUGAGAUUUAGGGAUUCAGGCGUUACUUAGAAAAACAAAACCACGGUCUUUUGUUCGUUUAGUUCGUACAUGUAAUUCUUACUUCUUGUAUUUUUUAUAUCUAGUGUUUCGUACGUUUUUGAGUUCUGACGUUAAUUCGGUAAUGUCAGCGAUUUAAUCAUACUGGAGACCCUUGUAUCCUACUGUUAUGGUGAACAACUGUGAGAUGGGGAAAAUACAAAACUAGUGACGGCGAGGAUGUAUUCUAACCCAUAGAAGCUUACAUCUGCAAGUUCCGAUUCAGGUUAAAAAUCUUCAGAUGCAUAACUAACCAAGAUAGUUGCUAAUAUGGACUUGCCUUUCGAGAAGAAGUCAAGAAAUUAAAGGAAAAUGAUGAUCCUGAUUAUGAAUCAGGAGCAGGAUCACUGCCAGAGAACUCUUCAAAAAACUUCCUAAUCACCAUCGUCAGUUUUAGGACCUGGGAACGAAUAGCUGCCCUUGAAGGACUGCAAAGACCCCGCAAAUUAGACGACAGGGAUAUUCAUCGCUUGUCAUCACUUGGGCGAAAUCUCCUAUCAGUGACCCUAGUUGCACUAAGAAGCAAUAGUUAAAGAAGUUGGACAGCAAGCCUGAAGAAAGCGGGAUUGGAAAUUCAAACAAAAAGACUAAGACGUUGAUGCAUCUAGGGUCCGAAAGGCAGCUGCAAACUCCCUUUGGUAAUGCCUAGAGUGCACCACAUGAGGGUCACUGACUGCACUACCGGGUGUAAA